CGGAAACAGUAGGCACACGCAAACUCAUCGGUAUCGUGCCGCUCUCACCCGCUCUUUGAAUUAAAGCUAAUAUUUUAUCCCCUGCUUUCUCGAGUUUGCUACACGGAGGACUCCGUGCUGAAUUAAAAGCGGAGGCGCGGUCCAAGCGAAGUGUUUUGGAGCGACGGAGCUUUUACGCCGGUGGCCAAAGAAACACUCCCAUGUGCGAGCACGAGUGAGCGCCUCGGUUACCGGACACAGAGAGCCCCACCCCACUAAAUUGAUACAUGCUGACACAUGCUGUGAUGUCUGUGCUGUUAGUCAUGGGAUUUUGAGAAGCCUACAGGGAGUUUGUCAUCUAUAAACAAAGUGAACAUGGCAAACUGAGCGAACGCUGGCAUCUGCUGCCUGACAAGAAAGAUCGAUCUAACUGUCAAAGCUCGGCACCAAACUGACAGCUCAGGUGUUGAAAGCACUAUUUAGGCAACAUUCACAUUAAACACAUGCAUGACUCUCUGUGUGAGCCGGCAAACAGUUUAGGCAUCUCUUUUUAUCCCUCUCUUUCUUUGUUUCAGUUCAUUAGGAGCAAACCUGAGCCCCCCUCCCCCCCCUUGCUGGCCUGUCAUGUUGUGUUGUAGUCUAUUAAUAGUUUUCAUAUGCAACAUGCAGAUCUCAUCCAUCUGAUGCAAUCAAUGUGGCAGGAUCCCUGGUGGUCAGAGUCAUAAAUAAUUAAACUGCUAGUCUGACGCCUCAUUUGUCUUCUUAAGAGCUCGUCUCUUCUGCAGCAGGCCCGGUGCAUCCCUGUGAAAUGCAGCGAGUUGUUUUGUUUAUCUCGAUGAAGCUGAUGUAAAGCUGCGAAAAAGGCUCUGUUGUCAUAGUGAUUACUGCAGCCAGAUUGGUUAUGUGAAACAGGUACAGAGUCUCCCCACUUCAGUCUGUCUGGUAUGACAUGACAGCAGAGUGCUUGUGGCCAUUAUCCACAGGUUAAAUCAAGAUACAGAGCCUGCCUCUAAUGGAACAUGCUGAGAUACAAGCAUUUGCCUUUGACUGUGUGGUGCACGUGUUUCAGAAGACAUAUAGUUGUGAAAUGGAGUUCAAGUAAUUUAUGUCAAACAAAGACAUUUAAUGGCAACCUUGGUUACCAGAAGGUCUUGUCUUGUCAUUAGUCUCUGUUCAGAAAUGUGUUUUGCAGCCAGCUGGUGAUUUCUUGUUGUGCUGAAAAACGUUAUUCUCGAUUCAUGUUAUUUUAAUUCUUGCUGGAGAGUGUGCAGUUUUGAAUCUUGCACCAUUUAAAUUUUUCCUCCAUUUU